rnacentral:lncRNA from 1 species
CCACCACUUAUUGACCGAACCCUUCUCCGAGCAAGAGUGCCACCAAUCCCUAGAUUUCAUCAUCUCGAAUAUGACCGACCUCCUUCCUUAUACACCUCUACAUCACUUGGCCCUAAUAACCAUAAACCCUUAACUGUAUCUAUUUUCAAGAUCACACAAAAUCAACUUAAUACCCUAAAAGCCAAGUCAUGGGAACAUGGAAACAAAACCAAUUGCAGCACCUUCACCAUUCUAGCUGCAUACAUAUGGCACUGUGAAACUAAAGCUUGGGGCCUCUCAUAUGAUCAACCAACCAAGUUACACAUGCCAACUAAUGGACGCCCCAGACUACAUCCUCCCCUCCCAUCAAUGUACUUGGGCAACGCAAUGUUUGUAGCUUCAUUAAUUGCUCUAUCUGGAAAUCUCCAAUCAGAACCGUUUGUAAAUACCCUAGAACGAGUUCAUGGAACAUUGCAAAGGAUGAAUAAUGAGUAUCUAAGAUCAGCUCUUGACUACCUAGAAACACUGCCAGAUAUAACAAUUGCCAGGAGAACACCGGACACUUACCAUUGCCCAAACCUAAGUAUCAACAAAUGGACACAACUGUCUUUAUAUGAUGCAUAUUUUGGAUGGGGUCGACCAAUAUACAUGGGUCCAACAAACGUUGUCCAUGAAGGAAAAAUAUGUAUACUACCAAGUCCAACCGAUGAUGGGAGCUUGUCAUUGGUAACAUGCCUACAGACUGCUCAUAUGAAACUCUUCGAGAAACAUCUAUACGAAGGCUUGAAGUCAUUUGACAAGAUCAAAGCUCGAUAUUAGUUGUUUGUUCUCUCUAUCAAUAUAUGUAUAAACCUAUAAAUCUUCUACUUCUGUUUCUUUAACUAAGACUUUUUGUUUGGAUCCUGUUUAUUUGAAAUUUACCAUCUAAGUUGGCCUGGCAAACAGGUGUUUUAUUGGUAAUUAUUGUACUAUACCUCAAUAAUAGUAAUAGCAUUGAUCGCAAAGAAAUAAUAAAUUAAAAUAAGAAUACACAGAUUUUACGUGGAAAAGUCUUAUUAGAAAAAAAAUCACAGGCAGAGUAAAAAUUUACUAAUGUUGAAAAGCAACAAUACAAGAAGUUUUUUUACUACACACGUUUUAACGGUUAAAUAACAUUUUUAUAAUCAAUGUCUAAUAGAAGAUCGCUCCCACAUAUCCCCCAAAUUUGCAAUUCUAUUUUAUUUCUUUAACAAACAAGUUGCACCUCGAAUUUUUCUGACUGGAUCAAACGGGGUUCAAAUCAAACAGCUCUGACAACAACUCAAAUUAUUUUUCCAUAACCAUAUUAAAACAAAUACCGAAUAAUUGAAAUAUAUUCAAAAUUUUAAAUUAAAUUAAGUUUGGAUCAAACUCACUGAUGAUAUAUGAUUUACCUAAAGUGAAAUAAGAACUCGAAAAUAUAAAAUUUAUGGGUAAAUUUUCGUUUUGGUCACUUAAUUAAAAAAUUAUAAUUUGGUUAUUAAACUAUUCAAAAGUUUUAUUUUAAGUCAUUGGAUUGUUAAAAUUUAUAUUAUACGACUUUCUCUAUUCGCAGUGCAUGCAUCAAUUGAAAGCUCUCUUUUUCCUUCAUUUUUACAGUUCAUUUUCUAUUUUUAUGUAAAAACUUUGGACGUCAUAAAUCUGUAGACCAAAAUUUAAACAUUUUUUGCUCUGAUUUCCAACAUCGACCAUCAAAUCAAUUUAGAUCUAAGGUAUAUUUUUCUACUCAUUAAUGGAAUAAUGGGUAUCGAUCCAUCGUAUCGAUUGUUGACACCAUUUUUUGGAUGAAAACGGAGUCGACUUGGGUUUGAAAAUGAAAACGAAAAACAAGGUGUCGCGACCGAUCCUUUUUGAUGAGGUGUGAUCGGGUCACCUCGUAAAAGUGGUUGUUUUUAAUAAACGGUUUAAUUUUAUUAAAACAACGAGUUUGGUCCACGAAAUUUAGAAAAACAGGUUCGGGAGUCGGUUACGCACGAGGAAGGAUUAGCACCCUCGAUACGCCCAAAAUUGGUACCCAGUUGAUUACUUAAUGUCUUAAUGUCGAAAAUUGAAAACUUUGAAGAAUUUUAAAAAAUACGAUCCUUGUAUUAAAACGUUGAAAAUUUUCAAGAAAAUGAGGAUAUUUCACGUUAUUCGAGAAAGAGAAUCAUAUCCAGUAAGUUAGGACACAAUGUCUCGAAUUUCCGAUACGCGAAUGAAAAAUGCUUAUUUAAAAGAUAUUUAGCUAUCUCGGAUUUAAAAAAGAGAUCACGACCAGUAAGUUAGAACACGAUCUUUUUUAUUCCCGAGAUCAUUUAAAACUUAAGUUUGAAAAGAUUCGUGUAAUAAAGUUUAAAAGAAUAUUCAAUUGUUUAAAUCAAAUGAAGAAAUUGCAACCCAAUACGUUAGAGCACAAUUUCUCAAAAUAUUAAACACUGAAUAUUGCAUUUAUUUCGAAAAAUCCUCGUCUCGAGGAACCACGUGUCAUGUCCAAUGCAUUAGGACGCAACGUAUUCAAUUCUUGAUAACGAACUUUUUAUCAUUUUUUUAAAAGAGUAAUCUCGAUUAUUUAAGUUCAACGAAGAAAGUCGGAACCCAAUACGUUAGGGCUCGAUUCUCUCGAAGAUCCAAAAUAACGAAUAUUACUUAUUUCUAAAAUUUCUUUUUCGAAAUCUAAAUAAAAAUGGGUGUAAUGGAUUAACGAUGAUAAUAAUGUAAGUAAAAUAAUAAUAUGAGCAAUAGCAUCAAAGAUAAGAUAAAAUAAAAAAGGACAAAUCAAUAGCAUACAGAAUAAAUAUAUAAGCAAAUAAAGUUAAAGCAUUCGUUUAAAAUAAUAAUGAAAAUGUAAAUAAAGAGAUAAACAAAAAAUGAACAAAACUAUAUAAAAAAUAAAAGAUAUAUAUAUUAUAUGCAUAAAUACAUUUGUACAAAAAAAAGGAUAUGUAAGUUGAAAUAUAGAAAAAUAUACGUAAGAAAAAAAUAGGUUUUUAAAACAUAAAAAGUAUGUAUAAAUAUGUUUAUAUGUAAUAAAAACACGUAUGUAUAUAUGAAAUACAACAAUAAUAAAGUAUAAAUAUGUACAUUUAUAUAAAUGGAAAAAGUAGAUAUGUAUAUGUAUAUAUAUAUUAUAAAGCAUAAAAAUAAGUAUUUAUAUAAAUAAAAAUUCGUAUGUAUAUACAUAUAUAUUACAUAAAGAUAAAAGGUAUAAGUAUGUAUAUUAUAAAAUAAAACCGUGCAAGUAUGUACAUAUAUAGAUGAAUUAUAAAGUAAGUAAAAUAUGAGUAUGUAUAUAACAAAGUCUAAAACGGUAUAAAUAGGUAGAUCAAAUGCAAUAAUAAUAAUAAUAAUAAUAAAUUAAAUAAUAAAAAGGGCUAAAUUGAAAACAAAACAAAAUAAGAGAGGAAAAAAAUCAAAAAUGAAAAGAAGUCAAGGAUUAAUCCGUGACGCGCUUGAAAGGAGAGGGACCGAGGCUGCAAAUAAACCGAAGCCCCCAAAACGCAGCGCAGCAGUGGACUAAAUUGAAACAAAAAUAAAACUUUGUGGCCAAAUUAAAAAUAAAAGAAAAUGCGAAAAGGGGCCAAAUUGCGACACACUUCAAAGUCAGAGGGACUGCGUGCGCAAAUAUCCCCUUUAGCGAAAACACGCUGAUCCUCCCCUCGGGUCGGAUCACCGCGCGGGUCAAGGGAGCCUUAAACGUCGCCGUUUUGAAAUUCCUAUAAAAGCUAAUUUUUUUCUGCUAUUUCAUUUCUUAAAAAAAAACAUAAGAAAAAACAAAAGGGUCUUCCCCUUUCUCUGCUAGGGUUCCAAACUUGGAACCCCGCCGCCGUCUGCCGCAUCUCCAUCGCAGCGCCACCAAGGACGGUGGCCGGAGUCGUGCGAGAAAAAGGGAUUUUUAACCCUCAUCGUGUGGCAUCCUUGAGAUCUCAGAUCUCUCAACCCGCGGGAAAGAGGGAAACCCACAACCCCUCUCGGACCCGAAUCGGCGACGGAGGAGAAGCCCUCCGACGGCGCAACCACGGUGGUUCCCGGUGAGUCCCCUUUCCCUUUUUAUUUUCUAUUUAAUGUACGAAAUAAAGAAAAUAAAAUAAAUAAAUAAAGAAAUGCGAAUCUGAUAUCAAGCCUUGAAUCUAUUUUUUUGAUUGUUUUAUUUAUAUGAAAAUGUUACAAAAGAAAAGAAAAAGCCCCCCGAUUCAGUGAUGAAGCCCCCUCUUACAAUCAAAAUCCCUAUAUUCUACUGCUAUUGUGUCUUUUCUUUUGUAGGUGGAGCAGGUGAGGGCGUCGGUGGCAAGUGGGCAUGGUGAUGGGACGUAUGCGGCGGCCAGCAGAGCUAGGGUGCAGAGGGCUGCAGCGCUAGGGUUUCUUUUCUGAAACCCUAGCUUGACUUUUGGGGAAUUGGGCUCCGAAUUUGGGCCUCGGGUUUGGGUUAGGCUAGUUGGGUUUAUUGUAUUGGGUUGUAACUGGAAUUGGAUCAUUUGGGUUUGGGUGGUUUGGGCUGAGUCUGUUGGGUUAUUGGGCUGAUGUUUGUUAGUUUAGGGUUAAUUGGGCCCAGGCAUAAAAAUUGGGCUUGUACAAUAAAUAUAUAUUUUUUAUUUUUAUUUUUUAAUUUUAAAAUACGUUAAAAAUAUUUUUUUUUAUUUUUAAAAUAUUUUUUUUGUGUUUAUUAAAAAUCGGGCUGGGCCCGGGCUUAUUAUUUUUUUCUCGGGCCGGGCCUGGGAAAAAUUUCAGGCCCAUAUUUCGGGCCGGGCCGGGCCCGGGCCUAAGAGUCGGGCCAAAUUUUUUCCCGGGCCCGGCCCGAACCCGGCCCGGCCCAUGGACAGGUCUAGUGACAGUACAAAUGGGUUUUAAAUGCCAACUACGAUGUCCAAUUAUUAGGACAAAAAUAGGUUUUUAAUUAAAUAAAUUAAAUUUAGACUGCCACGUAGGACCGUCAUAAGGGAGGUAAGAGAGCUUAAUGAUAGAGUGACCAAUUCGUAACAGAACGAUAACAUUAGUGACUAAAACGUAACAUUUCAAACUUAAGUGACUAAAAUGUAAUCUGAAGCAAAUAAAAGUGACUGUUUUAAAGUUUACCCUUAAUGUAAUUAUUGGCGGAUGAUCUGGCCGCACCGACAAACAGCAGAAAUUGAGUCAUUUUCGUAAUUAUUUACAAAAUUUGGGUUACUUUUGUAAAAAAACCAGAGAAGAGAACCUCGCCUCUUCUUAAGAUAGCCGGACACUUUCUAACUUUCCCUUCUUUCAGUUUUUCAUCAACAGGUUUGCCUCUUACCAGAACAUCAAUGGAUGUUAGUGUAAAGAGAUGGAGCAUGAUACGCCCUGCCCAAGAUACUCCUAAAGAAAGGCAAUGGAUUUCAAAUCUGGACAUGGUGAUAACAACAUACCAUGUCCCUUUGCUGUUUUUCUACAAACCAAAUGGCUCCUCUGAUUUCUUUAAGCCUCAAGUGCUACAGGAGGCUUUAAGCAAGACUCUUGUGCAAUUCUAUCCUAUGGCUGGGAGGUUGGGACAUGAUGAAAAUGGUAGGCUCGAGAUAUUAUGCAACGCAGAGGGUGUUCUGUGGAUAGAAGCUGAAACUACAUCGGCCAUGGAUGAUCUCGACGGUUUUACUCCCUGCUCAAAACUGAGGAAACUGGUUCCCACGGCUGAUUACUCUGGAGAUAUCAGUUCUUAUCCGCUUAUUAUGGCUCAGGUAAGUGAAUGAAGAACUAUUAUCUUAUUGUAGAUGAUAACUGUUACUUGCAGUAGGAGACCAAGGAUAAGCUCUGAGAAAACUCAAACAGUCUGAUACUGAAGUUAUAGCACAAGAAAAACUAAGCUAUCAGCUAAGAAGUUGAUAUAUGGCUUUUUUUUCUCAAAACUGACUUAAAAGAAUCGAUUAAUUAUGAAAAUUACCCAGGUAUAAUAUCUUAUAUGAGAAUGACCCGUUUUCUACCGUAAAAAUUGGUACCGCUAGACUAUUUAGCGGUACCGAUAUUUUUGUAAAAGUAUUACCAUCAACAAAUUAUCGAUAUAUACUUUCCAUUCAUCUUCACAAGAAAGUGCUAAUUACGGAGGUCCAUGGUGGUGGCUUAGUAGUGAUGAAGAUGAAACCAAAACCCUUUUCUCUUCAAUGAACCUCUGGUUUGACUCAUUUGUAAUAAUUAUUUUCGCUCGUUGGAUACACCCGCAUUUUAAAUGGAAAACUGUAAUAAUCCUCACCGAAGAAAAGCAAAGAACAAGAUUAAUCAAAGCGAACAAUAUUGUUACAAAUGAGUUAGGAGAGAGGUUCAUUGAAGAGAAAAGGGUUUCGAUUUCAUCUUCUUCACUGCUAAGCCACUGCCAUGGAACUCUUAGACCUUUCUCAUGAAGCUAAACGAUACCAUCAACAAAGUAUAUCCUUUUUACAAAACUAACAUCGGUGCCAACAAUGAGUCCGGCAACAUUCAAAAAAUAUAUUUUUUUAAAAAACAUGGGGUGGUGCUUCAAUGGAAAUGGUGGCACCAAAUUUUAUGAUAGAAAAUGGGUUAUUCUCGUACAAAAUUUUACACUUGAGUCAUUUUUAUAAUUAAUAAAAAUUUUUGGUCAAUUUUGAAAAAAAAAACUUAAUGUUUUUGUUUCGAAAAGGUCAAUUGUUGAGUGUAUAUUUUGCUAGGUAACUACUCUUAAAUGCGGUGGAGUUUGUCUUGGAAUAGCAACUCAUCAUACUUUGACUGAUGGCACAACGACCUUACAUUUCAUUAAUAGUUGGUCUGAAAUGGCAAGAGGCUUGCCCCAAAUUAGCAUGCCACCACUUAUUGACCGAACCCUUCUCCGAGCAAGAGUGCCACCAAUCCCUAGAUUUCAUCAUCUCGAAUAUGACCGACCUCCUUCCUUAUACACCUCUACGUCACUUGGCCCUAAUAACCAUAAACCCUCAACUGUAUCUGUUUUCAAGAUCACACAAAAUCAACUUAAUACCCUAAAAGCCAAGUCAUGGGAACAUGGAAACAAAACCAAUUACAGCACCUACACCAUUCUAGUUGCAUACAUAUGGCGCUGUGCAACUAAAGCUUGGGACCUCUCAUAUGAUCAGCCAACCAAGUUACACAUCCCAACUGAUGGACGCCCCAGACUACAUCCUCCCCUCCCAUCAACGUACUUGGGCAACGCAAUGUUUGCGGCUUCAUUAAUUGCUCUAUCUAGAAAUCUGCAAUCAGAACCGUUUGUAAAUACCCUAGAACGAGUUCAUGGAACAUUGCAAAGGAUGAAUAAUGAGUAUCUAAGAUCAGCUCUUGACUACCUAGAAACACUGCCAGAUAUAACAGUUGCCAGGAGAACACCGGACACUUACCAUUGCCCAAACCUAAGUAUCAACAAAUGGACACGACUGUCUUUAUAUGAUGCAGAUUUUGGAUGGGGUCGACCAAUAUACAUGGGUCCAGCAAACAUUGUCCAUGAAGGAAAAAUAUACAUACUACCAAGUCCAACCAAUGAUGGGAGCUUGUCAUUGGUAGCAUGCCUACAGACUGCUCAUAUGAAACUCUUCGAGAAACAUCUAUACGAAGGCUUGAAGUCAUUUGACAAGAUCAAAGCUCGAUAUUAGUUGUUUGUUCUCUCUAACAAUAUAUGUAUAAACCUAUAAAUCUUCUACUUCUGUUUCUUUAACUAAGACUUUUUGUUUGGAUCCUGUUUAUUUGAAAUUUACCAUCUAAGCUGGCUUGGCGAACAGGUCUUUUAUUGGUAAUUAUUGUACUAUACCUCGAUAAUAGUAGUAUCAUUGAUCGCAAAGAAAUAAUAAAGAAAAAUAAGAAUACACAGAUUUUACGUGGAAAAGUCUUAUUAGGAAAAAAAAUCACGAGCAGAGUAAAAAUUCACUAAUGUUGAAAAAUACUAAUACAAGAAGUUUUUUUGACUACACAUUUUAACGGUUAAAUAACAUUUUUAUAAUCAACGUUUAAUAGAAGAUCGCCCCCACAUAUCCCCCAAAUUUGCAAUUCUAUUUUAUUUCUUUAACAAACAAGUUGCACCUCGAAUUUUUCUGAUUGGAUCAAACGGGGUUCAGAUCAAACAGCUCUAACAACAACUCAAAUUAUUUGUCCAUAACCAUAUUAAAACAAAUACCGAAUAAUUGAAAUAUAUUCAAAAUUUUAAAUUAAAUUAAGUUUGGAUCAAACUCACUGAUGAUAUAUGAUUUACCUAAAGUGAAAUAAGAACUCGAAAAUACAAAAUUUAUGGGUAAAUUUUCAUUUUGGUCACUUAAUUAAAAAAUUAUAAUUUGGUUAUUAAACUAUUCAAAAGUUUUAUUUUAAGUCAUUGGAUUGUUAAAAUUGAUAUUAUAUGACUUUCUUUGUUCACAGUGCAUGCAUCAAUUGAAAGCUCUCUUUUUCCUUCAUUUCUACAGCUCAUUUUCUAUUUUUAUGUAACAACUUUGGACGUCACAAAUUUGCAGACCAAAAUUCAAACAUUUUUUGCUCUGAUUUCCAACAUGGACCAUCAAAUCAAUGUAGAUCUAAAUUAUAUUUUUAUACUCAUUAAUGGGUACUGAUCCACCAUAUCGAUUGUUGAAUCCUUACUUGGAGCUCGUUAGUGGAACUUAAAAAACAACUUAAUAUAUAGCCUAGUGACUUAAAUGAAAAUUUUUGAAUUUAGUGGCCAAACCAAAAACUUUCCUAUAAUUUAAUGACUAAUGGUAUAGUUUACGCACUUCCUCUUGGCCCAAUUGAAGUUUUUGGUACUCCCACACACUAGUAAAAAAGUUUUAAUAGUAGAAAUGUAUGAAAUUUUUAAUAGAAAGUACCAUUUUACUUUUUGAUCUAUAUACAGAGAUUAAUUUGCCAAUUUUUUAAAUAAAUGGGGUAAAAUGUAAUUUGACUUUUAAUAUAAAAAUCUCCAUGGUAUGUUUACCUUGAAAUUAUCAAUAAAAACUAAUAAAUAUAAAAUGAAACAGUUAAUAAUAUAUCAAAUAUCCACGAGGUGAUAGGUGAUUUUAAAAUUUAACAUUUACAACUUAAUGGGCUAGUGACAAGGCCAAGCAAACCAUUAGUGGAUUGGUAACAAAUUUGGUAAUAUUUCAACGAUCCAAUUGUUUAAUAUAUCGAUAUAACUGUAUUUGGUAUGCAUGAAAAUUUUCGAACCGAUCCGAUAUUUCUGACAUAUUGAUCCAAAAUAUUGUAUAUAUUGAACUAUUAAAAGUUUUUAUAUAAAAUAAAUAGUUAGUUUUUUUUUUAAUUUACAUCAAAUUUGACAUGCAUAAUAUGACAAUUGAAUCAUUAAAAUAUGGGUAAACUACACCCAUGGUCACUUUUGUUUACCUUAGGUUACAUUUCAGUCACUUAUGUUUGAAAUGUUACAUUUUAGUCACUUACGUUAUCGUGUUGUAAUAUUUUAGUCACUGAGCCGUUAAUUGCCGUUAAUGGUGUAAUGGUAAGCUGACGUGGCACGUUAAAUCAUCAUUUCAAACAAAAACUUUAGGUUAAAUUAUACAAUUGGUCACCAUAAUUUUUCGUUUUGAGCAAUUUAAUUCUUUUAUGUUCUUUUAACUUUCUUUUUUUUUUCUUUUUUUCUUUUCUCUUCUGCUUCACCCUAUGUUUUUCUACCUUCUUUAUUUCUUUUAACAUACCAGGAAGUCGAAUUGGUAGUGAAGAAAGAAGCAUGAUAUGGGUUUAUGGGUUUUGGUUAUAGGGUUUUGGUUAUAGGCAAAUGAUGACAGUCGACUUCCUACUUCUUUUUUCAUUGCCAAUUCGACUUCCUAAUAUGUUAAAAGAAAUGGGAAAGGUAUGAAAACAGAGGGAGAAACAAAAGAGAAUGAAAAAGAGAGAGGAAAGUUUAAAGAACAUAAAAAAAAUUAAAUUACUAAAAACGAAAAAAAUAUGGGGAUCAAUUGUAUAAUUUAACCUAAAAUUUUGUUUGAAAUGAUGAUUUAACGUGCCACGUCAACUUACCGUUACACCAUUAACGACGAUUAAUGGCUCAGUGACUAAAAUGUUACAACUUGAUAACGUAAAUGACUAAAACGUAACCUAAAGUAAACAAAAGUGACCAUGAGUGUAGUUUACCCUUAAAAUAUUAAUCGUAUAAAAAAAUAAAAUACAUAUUUUAAAUUUAAUAUAAAAAUGUUUAAAAAACACUAAAAUAAAUUAAUAAAAUUCUCAAUGACUUUUGGGUUUAAAUCACAAUUAUCGAAACAGGACAAAUCGAAAAUUAAUUAAUGUAUAAAUUUGGAAUAAGAGGAUUAAUUAUCUCACAAAUUGGUUAAAUCAACCAAUCAGAUCAAUUUUUUUCAUUUUUAAAUUUUUUAAUAAUUUAUUUAAUUAAAUUAAUCAAAUCAAUCAAAUCGGAAUUAGAAUCUAAUUCUAAACACUUUGCUUUGUUAUGUCAAAGCCAUAUGUUUUUUUUACACCUUAUUUAUUCCGCAAAUUAUUGUCCGCACAUGUCAACUCUUUAUCAUCUUUUAAUGACGUGUAUGGUAUAGAUAGCCUAUCUGCAUUUUUUUUUAUUUGCCAAAUUCUUUUAUUAUUCCUUGUAUUAUAAUUAGUUUGUGAAUUUAAUCUCUAUAUUAAAAUAAAAUGUCAAUUUUAGUCCUUAUACUUUUUAGCAUUUAAAAUUUUAAUCCUCCACAAAGAGUAGUAAUUAAAUAUGUUUGUUAAUUUAUGUCGUUAAUCUUUUACACAGUAUAAAGUUAUUCCACGUUCUCUAAUUUGAUCAUUCAUAAUCCUUAUAUUUUUUGAAUUUUUAAAUUUUAACAAGCUGAUAUGAUAUUACAUAUAUGAUAAUAUUUUUGACGUAUAAGAUUUUGAAAAUAAUAAAACUACUUAAUGAAUUUAAUGGUUAUCGUUUAUAUCAAGAUUGAAAUUUCAAAAUUAGAAAAAUAUACGGACUAAAAUGAUUAAAUUAAAGUACAUAGACUAAAUUUAUAACUUGUCUAUUGCACAAGUACUAAUAGCAAGAUUUAACCUAUUUUUACAUUUAAAUAUGUAAAAGUAUCACCCAUCCACUGCCUUCCAAGAGAGAAGAUAAGCGUUUUUUUAGCAAUAAAAGAAAUAAUAAUUACCUGAUAAAUUAUUUUAUGGACAUUUUUCACGAUAUCUUCCAUGAUCCCGUCCUAUUAGAAGAUGACACAUCAUCUUUUUUUGACACAUCAUAUGUACAUUUAGACUAAACUCCCAAAUGAAAGAUGAAGUGUCUUGUUUUAAUUGGGAGGAACUAUGGAUGAUGGGGUGGAAAAUGUCUAUAAAAUAAUUUCUCAUUAUUACCUUGUCUUCGAACACAAAAACACAAGCAUUAGCAUACAGAUUUUGCCCAUCCGCUACCUCCCAAUAGACAAGAUAGGUUUUUUUUUAAUUAACUCAAUUUUUUUGAUUAAUUACGAAAAUAAUCAACUUAAAAAUUACAUACGUAAAUGAUUUGAUUUUUACAGUGUUUGUCGAUGCUUCCAGACACAUCGGCGGCACAAGUCUCAUCAUCGACCAAUAAUUGUAUUAUUUUAAAGAUUUUCAAUUCAUUCCCUAACAUAUUUAAAUUUAUAUAAAUUGAGAUAAUUUUUUGAAGGAUAUAUUUGGGUAAUUUAAAUAAGACUUUUAACUUUAUUGUUUCUAAAAAAAUAAAAAUAAUUUAUUUUUGUUAUUCUUAUAUUUUUAAGGGCUAUUUAAAUAUAAUUUUAAAAAUAUAUAUACUUAACACGCAAAUAAAUAAAAAAUUAACAAGCAUCAAAUUUGGUGCCGACAUGGUGCACUAAAAAGUUAUUAUUUUCUGGGUAAAUUACAGUAAUAGUCACUUUUAUUUACCUCAUUAUAUUUUAGUUAUUUAUGUUUGAAAUAUUACAUUUUAGUCACUUACGUUAUCAUUUUGUUAUUAAGUGGUCACUCCACCGUUAAACUUCGUUACCUCUCUAACGGUAGUCCUACGCGACAGUACAAAUGGGUUUUAAAUACCAACUACGAUGUUCAAUUGUUGGGACGAAAAUAGGUUUUUAAUUAAAUAAAUUUAAUUUAGACUGCCACGUAAGACCAUCAUUAGGGAGGUAAGAGAGCUUAAUGAUAGAGUAACCAAUUCGUAAUAAAAUGAUAACAUAAGUGACUAAAAUGUAAUAUUUUAAACUUAAGUGACUAAAAUAUAAUCUGAAGCAAAUAAAAGUGACUGAUUUAUAGUUUACCCUUAAUGUAAUUAUUGGCGGAUGAUCUGGCCGCACCGACAAACAGUAGAAAUUGAGUCAUUUUCGUAAUUAUUCACAAAAUUUGGGUUACUUUUAUAAAAACCCGAAAAGAGAACCUCGCCUUUGCUUAAGAUAGACGAGCACUUUCUGACCUUCCCUUCUGUUGGGUUUUCAUCAACAGGUUUGCCUCUUAAUUACCAGAACAUCAAUGGAUGUUAGUGUAAAGAGAUGGAGCAUGAUACGCCCUGCUCAAGAUACUCCUAAAGAAAGGCAAUGGAUUUCAAAUCUGGACGUGGUGAGGCCAACAUUCCAUGUCCCUUUGCUGUUUUUCUACAAACCAAAUGGCUCCUCUGACUUCUUCAAGCGUCAAGUGCUACAGGAGGCUUUAAGCAAGACUCUUGUGCAAUUCUAUCCUAUGGCUGGGAGGUUGGGACGUGAUGAAAAUGGUAGGCUCGAGAUAUUAUGCAACGCAGACGGUGUUCUGUGGAUAGAAGCUGAAACUACAUCGGCCAUGGAUGAUCUCGACGGUUUUACUCCCUGCUCAAAACUGAGGAAACUGGUUCCCACGGCUGAUUACUCUGGAGAUAUCAGUUCUUAUCCGCUUAUUAUGGCUCAGGUAAGUGAAUGAAGAACUAUUAUCUUAUUGUAGAUGAUAACUGUUACUUGCAGUAGGAGACCAAGGAUAGGUUCUGAGAAAACUCAAACAGCCUGAUACUGAAGUUAAAGCACAAGAAAAACUAAGCUAUCAGCUAAGAAGUUCAUAUAUACACGAGAAUGACCCGUUCUCUACCGUAAAAGUCGGUGCCGCUAGACUAAUUAGUGACACCAAUAUUUUUGUAAAAGUAUUACCAUCAACAAAGUAUCGAUACUUUCCGUUCAUCUUCACAAGAAAGUGCUAAUUAUGGAGGUCCACGGUGGUGGCUUAGUAGUGAAGAAGAUGAAACCAAAACCCUUUUCUCUUUAAUGGAUCUCUGGUUUGACUCAUUUGUAAUAAUCAUUUUCGUUCGUCGAAUACGACCGCAUUUUAAAUGGAAAACUGUAAUAAUGAUCCUCACUGAAGAAAAGCAAAGAACAAGAUUAAUCAAAGCGAACAAGAUUAUUACAAAUAGACCUGUACAUAGGCCGGGCCGGGUCGGGUUCGGGCUAGGCUCACAAAAAUUUCAGCCCGUUUACUAGGCCCGGGCCAGGCCCGGCCCGAAAUAUAGACAUGAGAUUUUGCCUAGGCCCGGCCCGAAGAAAAAAUAUGGGGCCCGAGCCCGGCCCGUUUUUAAUUAAAAUUAAAAUUAUUUUUUUAAUAAAAUUAAAAUUAAUUGCUAUUAAAAUUAAUUGUUAGUAAAAUUAUCAAAUUAUUAAUUGUUAAUUGUAUUAAUUGUUGUAAUAAAAUCUAACAUUUGAUUAGUAAAUUUAUCAAAUUAUUAAUUGUAUUAAUUGUUGUAACAAAAUCUAACAUUUGAUUAGUAAAACAAACUUGAUGUUUUAUUAUUAUUAUUUUGUAACACUAGUCAAGGAAAUGAAAGUAAAUAAACUUAAAAUAAAAAACUAUUACAUUUUAAAAAUAAAAAAUAUAUAUUUAAUAUUUUUCGGGCCGGGCCGGGCCGAGCCCGGGCCAAAAAAUCUUGCCCGAGGCCUGGCCCAUUUUUUAAACGAGCCUAAAAUUUUGCCCAAUCCCAUAUUUCGGGCAUAUAUUUUACCCAAACCCUCCCAUAUUUUGGGCGGGCCGUCGGGCCGGGCCGGGCCGCCCGGCCCAUGGACAGGUCUAAUUACAAAUGAGCCGGGCGAGAGGUUAAUUGAAGAGAAAAUGGUUUCAAUUUCAUCUUCUUAACUGCUAAGCCACCACCAUGGAACCCUUAGCACUUUUUCGUGAAGCUAAAUGAUACCAUCAACAAAGUAUUGAUCCUUUUUACAAAACUGGCAUUGGUGCCACCAAUGAGUCCGGCGACAUUCAAAACAAAUAUAUUUUUAAAAAACAUGGGGUGGUGCCUUCAAUGGGAAUGAUGGCACCAAAUUUUAUGAUAGAAAAUGGGUUAUUCUUGUACAAGAUUUUACACUUAGUCAUUUUUUAUAAUUAAUCAAUCUUUUUUGGUCAAUUUAAAAAAAAAACCUUAAUAUUUUUGUUUCAAAAAGGUCAAUUAUUGAGUGUAUAUUUUGCUAGGUAACUACUCUUAAAUGCGGUGGAGUCUGUCUUGGAAUAGCUACUCAUUGUACUUUGGCUGAUGGCACAACGACCUUUCAUUUCAUUAAUAGUUGGUCUGAAAUGGCAAGAGGCCUGCCCCAAAUUAGCAUGCCACCACUUAUUAACCGAACCCUUCUCCAAGCAAGAGUGCCACCAAUCCCUAAAUUUCAUCAUCUCGAAUGUGACCUACCUCCUUCUUUAAACAC